CCCUUCAGAAGGGGACAACAGUUGGAAACGACUGCUAAUACCGCAUACGAUCUGACCUCGGCAUCGAGGAUAGAUGAAAGGUGGCCUCUAUUUAUAAGCUAUCACUGAAGGAGGGGAUUGCGUCUGAUUAGCUAGUUGGAGGGGUAACGGCCCACCAAGGCGAUGAUCAGUAGCCGGUCUGAGAGGAUGAACGGCCACAUUGGGACUGAGACACGGCCCAG
rnacentral:rRNA from 1 species